UGGGGGUGUCAGAUUAGAAGACGUUGGCAGCUAGAACAGGAUUAUUAUUAGAGAGGUUGAUCGAUGUGCCCGGUUUCAUCUGGUGAUCAGUAAUCCAGCCAGAAGUAGUAUUACUGAACGUAUGCUACCUAAUGUGACAGUAGAAAUAAGAUAUGUAAUAGUAUCUGUUGAUUUGUGUUGGAUCAUCCAACCCAACCAAACUGAAUUUUACUACUGCUGCUGCUACAUGUUCCAUGUUCUCCUGUCACUGAACUGUGUGAUGUAUCAUCCCGUUCAUGUAGAAGCUUGACGAUUGGAUGGCUCUGAGCAACCAUCAUAUGCAGGGAGGAGGCAAGCAGCAGAGACGAGUUGUAGCAAGUUUGGAUUGCGUUGCCGGCGUCACAGUAGUCUCCAUCCGUGGAGGCAUCACAUUGUAUCCUUCCUGACUGAACUGCAAUGCAUGAGGCAACCAGCUGAUGGCAUAUAUUUAUAUGCAUGAUGCAUGGAGUGAAAGAGUUUGAGUUGAGAUGCAACGCGCAGUAUUUUGAUCAUAUCCAGUAUACAUAGAUACACGCCGGUGCAGCUCAAGCGGAAUCCUGAUAAAAUGGAUCGUGGACUGAGCAUGGCCGAAGAACAGGUCAGAGGAAACUGAACUCUAGCCUAUCCUUAACUACACGAUCAGGAGCAUGGCGCACCGCCGCAAUGCAUAUAGAUAUAGAUGAGGUCGCCGGCGUACACAAAUACUAUCUAACAUGUUACCAUUCGUCUUAUUCUCAAAAAAUUAGUACAAAUAUAAAAACAAAAAUAACAAGUUGUGCUUAACUUAGUCACAAGCAAAAUAAAUAAAUGAUAUUCCAUAAUAUUUUGAAUAAGACAAAUGAUUAAAGUAAAAAAAAUUAAACAUCUUACGUUCCGUUUCUUAGAUUGAUCAGCAGCAACGACGAUGAAGAUGAAGAUGGUCUGCAUUUGCGCCGGCGAGAAAAUCCAACUCCCAGGGAAACACAUCAUCAGUACGGCCCAUUAUUAUUCUGUAUCGGCACUAAAUGGGCCUUUAGUGGGCUGAGAUGAAAUGCUGAACGGACCUGUAAUAAUCGGAGCCCAGCGAUCUUGGCGUUCAGCUGGCCAUGAGCUUCGGUCGGAGAAGAUGGGGCGAUGAUCUUACGAA
rnacentral:lncRNA from 1 species